rnacentral:rRNA from 1 species
GAUGAACGCUGGCGGCGUGCCUAAUACAUGCAAGUCGAGCGAACAGAUGAGGAGCUUGCUCCUCUGACGUUAGCGGCGGACGGGUGAGUAACACGUGGAUAACCUACCUAUAAGACUGGGAUAACUUCGGGAAACCGGAGCUAAUACCGGAUAAUAUAUUGAACCGCAUGGUUCAAUAGUGAAAGACGGUUUUGCUGUCACUUAUAGAUGGAUCCGCGCCGCAUUAGCUAGUUGGUAAGGUAACGGCUUACCAAGGCAACGAUGCGUAGCCGACCUGAGAGGGUGAUCGGCCACACUGGACCUGAGACACGGUCCAGACUCCUACGGGAGGCAGCAGUAGGGAAUCUUCCGCAAUGGGCGAACGCCUGACGGAGCAACGCCGCGUGAGUGAUGAAGGUCUUCGGAUCGUAAAACUCUGUUAUUAGGGAAGAACAAAUGUGUAAGUAACUAUGCACGUCUUGACGGUACCUAAUCAGAAAGCCACGGCUAACUACGUG